CUGAUGUCUUCAUCCAUAUUUUGAUUAUGCUGUUUUUGACAAAAUAGUCCCAAGAACAAAAUUCACAACAGGUGUCUUGUGUUUUUGUUUAAUUAUAGAAGAAGGGCUAUGUUACAGUGAGUGAGAUCAGGGACAGUUUAAAAUGGGAGAAGGAACGGGCUUUGUCACGUGCUGGAUCACCUCCUGAAAGAAGGACUGGCUUGGUUAGAUUCACAGGCAUCUGGAGAGCCACAGUACUGGCUGCCUGCUCUCUUUUCGGAGCUGACUUCCAGUGAUGUCACACCUGAGGAGGCCAAUCAAA